UGAUGCGGCACCCCUUCUUGUAAGUGA
rnacentral:piRNA from 1 species